rnacentral:tRNA from 1 species
CGGAGUAUAGCUCAGUCUGGUAGAGCACUCGCAUGGGGUGCGAGUGGCCCCGAGUUCAAAUCUCGGUACUCCGUCCA